rnacentral:pre_miRNA from 1 species
AAUAGAUGACACUGUUGACUUUUUCGUAUAUGUUUGACCAUUUGUCUUAUUCAAAAAAUUUACGUAAUUAUAAUUUAUUUUGUUAUGAGUUGUUUUAUCACUCAUAGUACUUUAAGUGUGAUUUAUAUCUUAUAUAUUUGCAUAAAGUUUUUGAAUAAGACAAAUGGUCAAACAUGUAAGAAAAAGUCAACGGCGUCAUCUAUU